GAUGAACGCUGGCGGCGUGCCUAAUACAUGCAAGUCGAGCGAAUGGAUUAAGAUCUUGCUCUUAUGAAGUUAGCGGCGGACGGGUGAGUAACACGUGGGUAACCUGCCCCAAGACUGGGAUAACUCCGGGAAACCGGGGCUAAUACCGGAUAACAUUUUGAAGCGGAUGGUUCGAAAUUGAAAGGCGGCCUCGGCUGUCACUUGUGGUUGGACCCGCGGCGCAUUAGCUAGUUGGUGAGGUAACGGCUCACCAAGGCAACGAUGCGUAGCCGACCUGGGAGGGUGAUCGGCCACACUGGGACUGAGACACGGCCCAGACUCCUACGGGAGGCAGCAGUAGGGAAUCUUCCGCAAUGGACGAAAGUCUGACGGGGCAACGCCGCGUGGGUGAUGAAGGCUUUCGGGUCGUAAAACUCUGUUGUUAGGGAAGAACAAGUGCUAGUUGAAUAAGCUGGCACCUUGACGGUACCUAACCAGAAAGCCACGGCUAACUACGUGCCAGCAGCCGCAGUAA
rnacentral:rRNA from 1 species